CUGUGUCGGAGAACACCGUAAAGCAUCCCAUUAAGAUCUGAGCUGUACAUAUUUCGUAGUUACCAAUCGACUUUUAAACCAAAGAUCUCUCUCCUCUCUCUCCUCUCUGUCUCUCGCUGAGCGAGUUCGCGUACCUGCGCAAAGCGCGUGGUGGAUCUCUCGGGCAUCACCGUCAGCUGGAAAGGCUGCGGAACUAGAACAACAACUUCAUCUGCGGCAAACACAGGAAGUGGGAAUGGCUAACCGAGUGAAGGAGGACGAGAAAAACGAACGAACUAUUCGGGGUCUUCUCAAACUUCCUGAGAAUCGGAGAUGUAUCAACUGUAACAGUCUGGGACCUCAAUAUGUUUGCACAAAUUUCUGGACAUUUGUUUGCACAAACUGCAGUGGAAUACAUCGGGAGUUCACCCAUCGAGUAAAAUCAGUAUCAAUGGCCAAAUUUUCUUCACAAGAAGUUACUGCCCUUCAAGACGGGGGAAAUCAGCGUGCAAAGGAGAUCUAUUUUAAAGAAUGGGAUCCACAGCGUCAUUCUGUUCCUGACAGCAGUAAUGUUGAGAAACUUCGAGACUUUAUUAAGCAUGUUUAUGUGGAUAGAAGAUACACAGGCGAAAGGAACUAUGAAAAGCCUCCAAGGGCGAAGACGGGUGAGAAGGAAGACUCCUAUGAAAACAGGAGAACAGAUGCAUAUCAAGGAGGGUCUCGAAGUCCACCAUAUGAGGAUUCAUAUGAACGCCGUUACAGUGAUAGGUCUAGUCCUGGUGGAAGGAGUUAUGAAGAAAGAAGAAGUCCUGGAUAUGAUCAAGAAAGUCGGCAAUAUAGUGAUUUUAAGAGAAGUCCUGCUCGUCCUGAGGUUGUUAAUGAUUGGCGCCGAGAUGAUAGAUUUGGAAAUGGGAGGAAAUUUGAAGACCGUAGGGAAUCUGAUGGAGAUUCUAAGCUGGAAGGCAGAUCACCUGAGCGACCAAAAGAUGUAAAUUCAUCCAGUCCCCCUAUGGUGCGGCCCGUAAGAGAGCUUUUGGGAGAGAAUGUGAUCCCUCUUCGCAUAAGUGAACCUCCAAAAGCCAAUGGUGGCAGGGCUGCUGAUGGCUCUGCACUUACACAGAGAACCAUAUCUUCUAGUAGCUUAGGAUCCAGUAAUGGGAAUCCUGUAGAAGUCAAAGUGGAGAAUGCUGGAAGCUUAAUUGAUUUUGAUGCUGAUCCUGGACCUCCACUUGCUGCAGCAGUUCCACAAACACAACAGAUUUCAAUGACUCAACCCACUGCACAUCCAGCAACUUCUAACAAUGACAAUAAUUGGGCUUCUUUUGAUGCUUUCCCUGAGGCCAAAGUAUCUCAAGCCCCAUCAAAUGUGAAUACAUUUGAAUCCGUACUUUCACAAUUAUCAGUCUCAGCAUCUGUGCCUGGUCAUGUUUUUGGAACUUCUGGUAGUGCUGGUUCUCCAGCUGCACACACUGGCAACAUGACAAUAUUACCUAUUACUGGUGAUUCCGCUGUUGCAUCGGUAGGGAACACACCUGCGUUACCUUUUACUGCUGGUGCUCCUGUUACUGCACCAAUAAGUAGUUUGUCAAUGUUUCCCCCUGGUGCACAAGCAAUUUCACCUGGAUUGACACCGAUAUUGCCUGUCAAUGGUAGUAAUUAUGUUGUCAAAGUUCCAGGUUCCGGGCAAGGGCCUCAUAUGCAGCAUCAACAACCGUCGUUCUUUCCUGCUACUGGUAGUCAGUCAACUGCUCAACAAUUUACAACAUCUGUUGAUUUAGGUACAAGCAAUCAGUGGAAUUCAUCACUUAACACUAAUGCACAAGGCCCUUCAAGUAAUCCAGUUGCACAUGCAUCCCCAGCUGUCUCAAUACCACCACAUUUGCCCGCUUCUAUUGAUGUGUCACAACCUUCUGUUGUGGAAGUAAAAUCAAGCACAAGAAGAGAACUUCCUGCGGAUCUUUUCGCUGCAACCUAUUCAUCUUUCCCUGCACCAGUUCCAGCAUGGCAAACUGGUCCACCCCAUGGUAUGGGGUUCAAUAUGCAAUACAAUGCAGCACUGUCAGUGCCAACUUUUCAACAGCCAAAAACUACAAAUCCAUUUGACUUCAACAGUGAACCUCCUCUAGUUCAAGCCCCAACGUUUCCUUCAAUGGCAUCCUUGCAAGGUGCUCUACCAAAUGUCCCAGCUGCUUCAGGCAUAAUACGUGCUUCCAGCUUUGGCACUCCAUCGUCAGCAUGGAUGCAGCCCCAGGCAUCAUCUUAUGCAUCAACUUUGCCUCCCCAGGCACCACCUUACGCAUCAGCUUUGCCUCCCCGGGCUCCACCUUAUGCAUCAGCUUUGCCUCCCCAGGCACCACCUUAUGCAUCAGCUUUGCCUCCCCAGGCACCACCCUACGCAUCAGCUUUGCCUCCCCAGGCACCAUCUUACGCAUCAGCAAUGCCUCCAAGUGCAUACAUGGGGCAACAAAUACCCAGUAACAUGCCAUAUUCCAGGCAUCAAGGAGUAGGGGGCUUUGGCAAUGAUGGGGCUGCUUUCGGCUCCUUAAAUAUGGAUCAGCAGCUGGCUGGCAGAUUCUCAGCACCUGCAACCCCAAAUCCUUUCUCAUCUGUUGGUGGAAACCCAUUUGGAUAAAAUAUGAAAAGGAAAGCGUUUCUGACCCCAUUUAGGUCAAGCAUCAUCUUGUUGCUCCCUGUCAAGUUGCUGGGUGUAAAGUUUUGGUGUCUGUGUUUUGUGGUAGCUUUGAUAUCCAGGCCAAGGAGAGAUUUGUUCUGUUCACCCCGGGGCAAAAGUCAACUGUCACAUGGCCAUAGAGUGAAAUACAUCCGACCAGAAAAGGAAUUGCAGCCGAGUCCUUGGUAUGCGCGGAUUGAUGGAUAUGAGGGGCCUCUCUAUUUGGGUAAGUCUUCUUUUCAUAUAGAGUAAUAUUAUUCACUCUCACUUUUUCACUCAUUUUCGUACCUUUAUUUUUUUGGGUGGUUUUUAGAACUACCAUUAGAUUUGGGAUGAGUUUUUAUUUGAAUAAAAUGGUUUUUAAAAGUUAUUCAAAAAAAAAGAAAGGUUUUAAAAGUCAUUUAAGGGAGUGAAAAUGGGUGUUGAAAAAUGGAAUGUAUGUACCAUUAUUCUUCCCGAAAUGUAAGACGAACAACAAAGCACAAAGCACAAUUCAAACGGCAACGUUCCCCAAGUCCAAUGCACGCAUAGCACAUCUUACUCUAUUCCAUUUGUAGCAAAAUUUUGCUCUUCCAAAAAAUAUUUCGCCGUUGAAUUGAAAAAUGAUGUCUCUUGGACAUGUAAAAAAUACAUACUUUUUUAAUAAUAGGGACAAAGUUAAAAUAUUUUAUAAAAAAAAAAAUAUGUGCAUCUCACAUGCUAUUAAAAAAGUAUAUGCUUCUCACACGCUAUGAUAAGGGAUGUCAUUUUUAUAGAUUGGGUUGAAGAAAGUUUUUUCAACCCAGUUUGAAAGAAAUUUUUGUCCGCAUGACGUUGCCCCUCCCAACCUUCCCUUCGGUUUGUCCCUCUACGAGUUUGUUAUGUUAUUUUACAAAUGUUUAAAGCUUUAAAGCUUACUUUAGUAGCAGUAGGGCCCCAUGCCUAGCUCUUUGAUCAUGUAAUAAGACUUUGAUGGAUGUUACAUCAUUCUUUCAGCCAUUUUUUAAUUUUUUUUUUCUUUUGCAAAUUUAAUAAAUCUACCAUUAUAUUUAUA